rnacentral:rRNA from 1 species
UGCGUAGGCGGUGCUCUAAGUUUGGUGUGAAAUCUCCCGGCUCAACUGGGAGGGUGCGCCGAAAACUGGAGUGCUCGAGUGUGGGAGAGGUAAGCGGAAUUCCUGGUGUAGCGGUGAAAUGCGUAGAUAUCAGGAGGAACACCUGUGGUGUAGACAGCUUACUGGACCACGACUGACGCUGAGGCACGAAAGCGUGGGUAGCAAACAGGAUUAGAUACCCUGGUAGUCCACGCCCUAAACGAUGCAUACUUGGUGUGAGCCAUUCAUUUGGUUCGUGCCGGAGCUAACGCGUUAAGUAUGCCGCCUGGGGAGUACGGUCGACAAGGCUGAA